CUUAAUAAAGACCUGCAGAAGGGUUUUACAAAAAAAAAAAUGUUUCUGUUCUAGGCUUCCAGUCUAGAACAAGUGUCACUUUGUGUUGUAAUCCCUUUCUUAGGGCUGAGAAAAUUGUAUUUUUUGAGAUUAAGAGUUUAUAUAUUGUCUGAAAUGUUUCAAAGGGUUGUAUUAUUUAACAUAGUUGUAAGGUUGGCAAUGGCAAGGGCUUGUUUAAAACAUACUGCUUUAAUAGUUAGGAAUACUUUGUUUUGUACAAGGUUUGCUUACCAUUAGUGGCUUGUUCUCAGAGGAAUCUUUGUGAGUGCCUCUUGGAUACUUGUGAAAAAGCUGUAUCUCUCUGACAGUUUAAAUAAGCCCCGUCGCCAUGAUCUUUGGCACACUAAUGAAGUACUGCUUACACAUUGCAAACUUUAUUUUUUUCAAAGUAUCUAUAUAAAGCAACCCAUAGACAUAUAAGACAACAGAGUUAUAUGCUAUAGAAUUAUUGCAUUAAUAUUAAUAGAUUCGUUGCAUUAUUUCCCCACAGAAGCACAACCAACAUCUCAAACUGGUAAUAUGAAAGUAAGGGGAACCCAUGUCAUGAAGUGAUUUCAGUGCUGAUGAAACAGGGAGACUUGCCUGAUACAUACUGUAUGUGUCUAAAUCGGGGCUCCUUGAAUGCUUCAGAGCCAGUGACAAAUGAACUCUAGUCUGACCUUGUGAGGAUCCCAGACUGGUAACGUUUCUCCUUAGAGACGCUGCAAGAUCCAUUCCCGCGAGAAACUACACGUGUAUGAAGUUCUGCUAUGCAUGAAUCCCACUACAGGCAAUGGAAAGUCUGCUGUGUAUGAGCUAAUUGCACAUGUGAAUUUACAGUGCUGAGGUCCUUUGUUUCUCAAUGGAAGCCUUGCCAUGCACCUAACAGCAGAGUAAGGAAAUGGAUUUGUAUUUUUUUACUUCUAGAAAGAAUGAAUUCCUUUCCCCUCCUAUGCUUUCUUCACGGGAAAACUUAACUGAAUUUAGCAAGCUUAGAGAAGCAUUUUUUCAUUUUAAUAUAGAUGUCUUAAAAGAUUAAUUUCUCCCUGAAGACAUUUGAGCAAGGUGGAGAGAGAGAUUGAUCAUUUCCAGAUGUUCUUUGCUGACAGGCAAAGAAAAAUUCUGCUUCAGGUUAACAUUUGUGAAUGUGUUUAAAGAAUAUACAUUUUGUAUGCAAAUUGCCAGGGAGAGCACAAGCCAGUGCUACAGGGGCUGAGAUGCCCAGAUUUACAGCAUCAUAGCUGCUUUAAUAAGCAGGGUCUUGUCCCUGCUGACUGGCCUAAAAGCCUUGGGAGCGUCUCUUCCUCUAUCUCCUGUGGACAGGCAGGGGACUUGGAUGUGCUUUUCAGACAGAAACACCAAGGCCAUGUGCAGUGUGCUUUGAGGGAGACAGUUGACUCUACAGUACUUGCUGAAUCAGACAUAUUAAACUACAUAAUUCACUGUUUCUUUGAUGUUUUGGGGACAGUUUCUAAUAGGGUUCCUUAACAUUGCACACUAAGUGCUGGCAAGACUUGGCACACUGAACAAGCAGUUUGGGGUUUCUGGGAAGUACCUCGAGUUAGAGGAGCAGAGGGAGCUGGUGUCUUACAUGUUACCUGAGUAGAGAGUCAGUCUGAUGGAGCAAUUGUGCACUGGCAUCCUGCUCACUGUGUGUUGUCCGACUUCCCACAGGGCACAAGCAGCACUCCAGGGUCAGACCUGCAGUCGCUGCUGCUUUUGCCCCUGCACAAGCAAUUGAUGCUCACUCUCAUACUGGCUCUCUUGCCUGGCAGUAGUGUCCAAUGACUACAACAGGAGGACUUCUUAAUGAUGAAAGAUGAGCAUCAACCAGUUCUGUAGGAGUCCUUGGUGCCUAGGAAGAGCAGAUUCUUCUUCAGUUGGUUUUGAUCUCUAAGGCAACAGCAGCCACGGCACUGAGCAUGGGAAGUAACGGAGCUCAUGCCAGUCAGCAGCAAAGGAAAUGCCUCCUUGGGAAGCAGUCUUUCCUAACGUCCGUCUGUAACAACUGUUGUCCUUCUCAAAUGAUGUGUGGAACCAGAAACGCCACUGGAGACCAGGACGCCUUUGUAAUAUUCCUGGAAGCUCAGAGGAAUCCCUGCAGGACUGGCUGAUGGUCCCUGUGCCAGAGCCUGGUGUCACCUCUGCCACCAGCUGGGCAGUCUGUUAGGUUGGGCAGGAAGAGAUGCCACCAAGGACUAUGUGCAAUAGUUUGUGCAGCCACAGAAGACUAGCCAAUACAUCACAUGAGGCAUGAUGAGAUAGAAUAGCUGACUAAUAUUUGGGUUAAAUAUGUGUAAAUUCUUCCUGACCACAUGACUGGUGAGGCUGUUGGAAUAAUAGAAGGACCAUACCAUAUAACUUGAGGUAUUUAAACCAAGAUUGAUUUGAAUAUGAGCAAAUGGAGUAAUGUGUCAUUAAGGGAGCACAGAUGAGAAUCUAUCUUUUCACCUCCAUUUUCUUGGGUUCUGUUCUGUCUCCCAGGAGUGACUGAAUGUUGUGAUGGACAUUAAUAAUUAAAAGAAGCUUGACCACGCCACCUUCACGUCAGCUGCUGUCCUUUUGUCAUUCCUUGUUAUGACAGAAGUGGGUGAGUGCUAGGAGCAAGCUGUCAGCAGAUGGUAGGCAGCAACUCUGGCAAGUUUGCAAAUGAGGUACUUUCCCCGCUACAGCCAGCAGGAUCAACUAUUAAUCUUCUUGCUACACUGCUCUUUACAAGUCAAGAAAGCUCAUCAGGUCAAAACAUGUAGUCCAUACUGGCUGUAUGGAAAACUUUUUUCUCUGAUGAAACACAGUUUUAUUGAUAGGUGAACUCCAGGACAUGGAAAAAACCCUCCAUGAUUCUUUACCAUUAACUUCUCUGAUUGCUCCAUUUGAAGCACACACAAUGGAGAGAAAGAAGAGAAUAUUUCACAUGAAAUUCCACAAAUCUCUCAGCAACCUGAGUUGAUAUCCCGUGUUUCUCUGGCUUUUCUUCCCCCCAGUUUAUUUGGCUUUGUAACAUACAGGAUAACUAUAAUGAAAUGAUCAUGUAUGCACACAUAUUAAUUUUUUGAGGUAUAAAAUUAUUUAGCUUAUGUGAAAGAGAAAAAUAGACUAGGUCCUUUCACCUUGUGAAAGUCAUGGCAGAUUUUGCCUACAGAAACAUCUGUUCCUUAAAAUUUAAGAUUACAAGAACACAUCUUUAAGGCAUCCUUGUGAUUAUCUUAAGUACUUUGAGAACAGCACACACUAUAUGCAAUUCUUAAAAAGGAUCAGUCUUCCCAUUUAAGGACCUUUCCACUUCUCUUUUUAAACACUGCCUUUCCUGUUACCACACUUGGAAGUCCUCUAUACUUGACUCUGACUUGAAACUCAGAAUUUUGAGAUUGAUGAUUUAAAAAAAAAAAUUGCUAUUUUUAAUGGUAGAAAUGGAAGAAAGGAACUUUAAGAAAGUGGAUUCCCCUAAGAAGGUGCUCAUCAAAUAUGUUCCCCCAUUCUGGCAUUUUGUUGGCUGAUAGUAGGUAAUUGGAAGUCAUUCAGGAUAUCCUUAGAGUGUUGUAAGUUUUGCAGAAUUUUUAAUAAAUAAAUUUUGCAUAUGCAGCAGGUUUUAGGGCCCUGUGCUUAAUGGGAUUUUUUGAUAGAUGUACUUUGCAACAGACCAGAGGUGGACAUAGGUGAGAGCUCUGCUUCUUCCUUGUCCUCCUGGGGCAGUCCUGGCCUAAAGAUAUGGGACAAAAUAGACAGAGAAAUGCUUAUGUAGUGAUUUCAUUUCCUUUACAGAGAAUCUCCUGAUGUUUUGAGCAAAAGUUUGAAUCUGUUUUUCUUUUGACCAAAUAUACUACAUUAUCUGUUGGUGUUUUCUUUUACUUCAACCAAGGUUGAGUGCCACCAAUCUGCUGGUUUUGUCUCCAUGUUAGAAGAAGUUAAUGGUGAUGAUGGUUGUGAU